UGCCAUCCAGGACCCAAGGCCUUUCUGUAGUGUCAUGGAUCCGGCAAAGUGCAGCACCCGCACAUGCUUCCAGACUCAACUUUUCUUCAGAGCUACAAAA